GACUGACCUCAAAUCAGGU
rnacentral:rRNA from 1 species